rnacentral:rRNA from 1 species
GAUGAACGCUGGCGGCGUGCCUAAUACAUGCAAGUCGAGCGAACGGACGAGAAGCUUGCUUCUCUGAUGUUAGCGGCGGACGGGUGAGUAACACGUGGAUAACCUACCUAUAAGACUGGGAUAACUUCGGGAAACCGGAGCUAAUACCGGAUGAUAUUUUGAACCGCAUGGUUCAAAAGUGAAAGACGGUCUUGCUGUCACUUAUAGAUGUAUCCGCGCUGCAUUAGCUAGUUGGUAAGGUAACGGCUUACCAAGGCAACGAUGCAUAGCCGACCUGAGAGGGUGAUCGGCCACACUGGAACUGAGACACGGUCCAGACUCCUACGGGAGGCAGCAGUAGGGAAUCUUCCGCAAUGGGCGAAAGCCUGACGGAGCAACGCCGCGUGAGUGAUGAAGGUCUUCGGAUCGUAAAACUCUGUUAUUAGGGAAGAACAUAUGUGUAAGUAACUAUGCACAUCUUGACGGUACCUAAUCAGAAAGCCACGGCUAACUACGUG